ACACAUGCAAGUCGAGGGGCAGCAUGGUCUUAGCUUGCUAAGGCCGAUGGCGACCGGCGCACGGGUGAGUAACACGUAUCCAACCUGCCGUCUACUCUUGGACAGCCUUCUGAAAGGAAGAUUAAUACAAGAUGGCAUCAUGAGUCCGCAUGUUCACAUGAUUAAAGGUAUUCCGGUAGACGAUGGGGAUGCGUUCCAUUAGAUAGUAGGCGGGGUAACGGCCCACCUAGUCUUCGAUGGAUAGGGGUUCUGAGAGGAAGGUCCCCCACAUUGGAACUGAGACACGGUCCAAACUCCUACGGGAGGCAGCAGUGAGGAAUAUUGGUCGAUGGGCGAGAGCCUGAACCAGCCAAGUAGCGUGAAGGAUGACUGCCCUAUGGGUUGUAAACUUCUUUUAUAAAGGAAUAAAGUCGGGUAUGGAUACCCGUUUGCAUGUACUUUAUGAAUAAGGAUCGGCUAACUCCGUGCCAGCAGCCGCGGUAAUACGGAGGAUCCGAGCGUUAUCCGGAUUUAUUGGGUUUAAAGGGAGCGUAGAUGGAUGUUUAAGUCAGUUGUGAAAGUUUGCGGCUCAACCGUAAAAUUGCAGUUGAUACUGGAUAUCUUGAGUGCAGUUGAGGCAGGCGGAAUUCGUGGUGUAGCGGUGAAAUGCUUAGAUAUCACGAAGAACUCCGAUUGCGAAGGCAGCCUGCUAAGCUGCAACUGACAUUGAGGCUCGAAAGUGUGGGUAUCAAACAGGAUUAGAUACCCUGGUAGUCCACACGGUAAACGAUGAAUACUCGCUGUUUGCGAUAUACUGCAAGCGGCCAAGCGAAAGCGUUAAGUAUUCC
rnacentral:rRNA from 1 species